rnacentral:rRNA from 1 species
GAUGAACGCUGGCGGCGUGCCUAAUACAUGCAAGUCGAGCGAACGGACGAGAAGCUUGCUUCUCUGAUGUUAGCGGCGGACGGGUGAGUAACACGUGGAUAACCUACCUAUAAGACUGGGAUAACUUCGGGAAACCGGAGCUAAUACCGGAUAGUAUUUUGAACCGCAUGGUUCAAAAGUGAAAGACGGUCUUGCUGUCACUUAUAGAUGGAUCCGCGCUGCAUUAGCUAGUUGGUAAGGUAACGGCUUACCAAGGCAACGAUGCAUAGCCGACCUGAGAGGGUGAUCGGCCACACUGGAACUGAGACACGGUCCAGACUCCUACGGGAGGCAGCAGUAGGGAAUCUUCCGCAAUGGGCGAAAGCCUGACGGAGCAACGCCGCGUGAGUGAUGAAGGUCUUCGGAUCGUAAAACUCUGUUAUUAGGGAAGAACAUAUGUGUAAGUAACUGUGCACAUCUUGACGGUACCUAAUCAGAAAGCCACGGCUAACUACGUGCCAGCAGCCGCGGUAAUACGUAGGUGGCAAGCGUUAUCCGGAAUUAUUGGGCGUAAAGCGCGCGUAGGCGGUUUUUUAAGUCUGAUGUGAAAGCCCACGGCUCAACCGUGGAGGGUCAUUGGAAACUGGAAAACUUGAGUGCAGAAGAGGAAAGUGGAAUUCCAUGUGUAGCGGUGAAAUGCGCAGAGAUAUGGAGGAACACCAGUGGCGAAGGCGACUUUCUGGUCUGUAACUGACGCUGAUGUGCGAAAGCGUGGGGAUCAAACGGGAUUAGAUACCCUGGCAGUCCACGCCGUAAACGAUGAGUGCUAAGUGUUAGGGGGUUUCCGCCCCUUAGUGCUGCAGCUAACGCAUUAAGCACUCCGCCUGGGGAGUACGACCGCAAGGUUGAAACUCAAAGGAAUUGACGGGGACCCGCACAAGCGGUGGAGCAUGUGGUUUAAUUCGAAGCAACGCGGAGAACCUUACCAAAUCUUGACAUCCUUUGACAACUCUAGAGAUAGAGCCUUCCCCUUCGGGGGACAAAGUGACAGGUGGUGCAUGGUUGUCGUCAGCUCGUGUCGUGAGAUGUUGGGUUAAGUCCCGCAGCGAGCGCAACCCUUAAGCUUAGUUGCCAUCAUUAAGUUGGGCACUCUAAGUUGACUGCCGGUGACAAACCGGAGGAAGGUGGGGAUGACGUCAAAUCAUCAUGCCCCUUAUGAUUUGGGCUACACACGUGCUACAAUGGACAAUACAAAGGGCAGCGAAACCGCGAGGUCAAGCAAAUCCCAUAAAGUUGUUCUCAGUUCGGAUUGUAGUCUGCAACUCGACUACAUGAAGCUGGAAUCGCUAGUAAUCGUAGAUCAGCAUGCUACGGUGAAUACGUUCCCGGGUCU